rnacentral:rRNA from 1 species
GACGAACGCUGGCGGCGUGCUUAACACAUGCAAGUCGAACGGAAAGGCCCUGCUUUUGUGGGUUGCUCGAUUGGCGAACGGGUGAGUAUCACGUGAGUAACCUGCCCUUGUCUUUGGGAUAUCUUCUCGAGACUCCGGCUAAUACCGGAUAUGAUCUCUUGCUGCAUGGUGGGGGUUGGUAAGUUUCGGCGGUUGGGGAUGGACUCGCGGCUUAUCCGCUUGUUGGUGGGGUAGUGGAUUACCAAGGGUUUGACGGGUAGCCGGCCUGAGAGGGUUACCGGCCACAAGGGGACUGAGAGAGGGCGCAGACGCGAACGGGAGGCAGCAGGGGGGAAUAUUGCAGAAUGGGCGGAAGCGAGAGGCAGCAACGCCGCGUGCGGGAUGACGGCCUUCGGGUGGAAAACAGAUUUCGAAUGAGACGAAGCGGGAGUGACGGUAAUGGGUAAAGAAGCACCGGCUAACUACGUG